ACGUGGGUGACUUGCCCCGAAGAUGGGGAUAACCUCUGGAAACGGGGGCUAAUACCCAAUGUGCUCGGUGAUUCGGUUCAUCGAGUAAAGCUCCGGCGCUUCGGGAGAGGCCUGCGGCCCAUCAGCUAGUUGGUAGGGUAACGGCCUACCAAGGCAGAGACGGGUAGGGGGCGUGAGAGCGCGGACCCCCACACUGGCACUGAGAUACGGGCCAGACUCCUACGGGAGGCAGCAGUAAGGGAUAUUGCGCAAUGGACGAAAGUCAGACGCAGCGACGCCGCGUGGGCGAUGAAGGCCUUCGGGUUGUAAAGCCCUUUUAUGGGGGAAGAGAAAAAGGACGGUACCCCAGGAAUAAGUCCCGGCUAACUACGUGCCAGCAGCCGCGGUAAAACGUAGGGGACAAGCGUUAUCCGGAUUCACUGGGCGUAAAGAACGUUGAGGCGGUUCCGUAAGUUGGGCGUGAAAGCUCCGGGCUUAACUCGGAGAUGUCGUUCAAUACUGCGGGGCUUGAGGACAGCAGAGGAAGGUGGAAUUCCCGGUGUAGUGGUGAAAUGCGUAGAUAUCGGGAGGAACACCCGUGGCGAAGGCGGCCUUCUGGGCUGUUCCUGACGCUGAAGGCGAAAGCUAGGGGAGCGAACGGGAUUAGAUACCCCGGUAGUCCUAGCUGUAAACGAUGGAUGCUGGGUGUGGGGGGUGUAAAUUCCCUCUGUGCCGAAGCAAACGCGUUAAGCAUCCCGCCUGGGGACUACGGCCGCAAGGCUAAAACUCAAACGAAUUGACGGGGGCCCGCACAAGCAGCGGAGCGUGUGGUUUAAUUCGAUGCUACACGAAGAACCUUACCUGGGUUUGACAUGCACGUGGUAGGGAACCGAAAGGGGACCGACCUUCGGGAGCGUGCACAGGUGCUGCAUGGCUGUCGUCAGCUCGUGCCCGUGAGCUGUCGAGGUUAAGUCCCGUAACGAGCGCAACCCUUGCCCUUAGUUACAAGUGUCUAAGGGGACUGCCCGGGUCAAUUGGGAGGAAGGUGGGGAUGAUGUCAAGUCAGCAUGUCCUUUAUAUCCAGGGCUACACUCACGUUACAAUGGCC
rnacentral:rRNA from 1 species